rfam:Ovis aries breed Texel chromosome 6, whole genome shotgun sequence.
GCUCAGCUGGGAAAGAAUCUGCCUGCAAUGCAGGAGGCCUGGGUUCAAUCCCUAGGUUGGGCA